CUAUAAAGCUGUUUUGACAGGAUGAGCCUGACGUGAGGGGAGGAGGACUAAUUGAUCUGUUAGUGCUUGGAGCCAUGAAGGAGUCUGGAUUGAACUUCAGCUCUGCCGCUGUGUUUGGAAGCACUGAGUGAUGGAUAUUAAGAUAAAAUUCCUAGGCAAGGCUGGGUGUUAGAAAGAUGGGUGAUAGAUUCUUUUGAAGUCUGAAAAGUCUGAACACGAAGGAGAAAGCGAAAUCUUAGGUUAGGCAGUGGUGAUGGGCAAAGCAGUGAGGCAAGGCAGGGUUAGAAUGGAUAAAAACUCUGCUCCCUUUCUGGAGGAUUUGCCGUGGAUGUCUCCCACUCAUGUUUCCACAGCAGGGGCAACAGGCUCCUGUGUGAUGCCCCAUGCAUGUUUCUACUGCAUCGUGGAAGGAGGAGAUGCAAACACAAGUUCCUAGGGCAUGGGCAAAUGCUCAAGGCUAGCUGUAGCUCCAAUGAGGUAUGUUGCAUUUGGAGAAAAUUCAAAAAUAAAAUAUGACUAAACACAGCUACCUUUAUUGAAACAAGUAAAACAGAUGUCAGUCUAAAAUUUGGACUUGUCUGGAGUAACAGAACAGAGACAUGGAUGUCACGACUUAAGAGGAGAGGUUUAGAAUGACUAUUAGCAGAGAUUGAGCCUGGAUCUCAGAAGAAGAAAGAAUUAGAUAUAAAUUCA